rnacentral:tRNA from 1 species
GCGGGUGUGACGGAAUUGGCAGACGUACUAGAUUUAGGUUCUAGUGCCGCAAGGCGUGGGGGUUCAAGUCCCUCCAUCCGCACCA